GGUGUCCUGCCUCUUAGACUGUAAACCUAGUUUACCUACGGGUUCCACUAAAGUAACCUGAACCUGAUUAUUAAUAAGAACACACAUCGGUUGUUU